rnacentral:sRNA from 1 species
CGGCCUCCCAAAGUACUGGGAUUACAGGUGUGAGCUACCGCACCUGGCCACAAAGCCGAUUUUCUAUAGCAGAUACCUAAAGGCCAGUGCCCACUGCUAGCAGCCUGAGUAGUUCAGUGAUGGAGUUAGACCCAUACCCUUUCUAGUCUUCUGGGAGGAGCACCCCCAUGUCCACAGCUGCUGUCACACCUCGAAGUGACCAGGGACUUCAGAUGCCAUUGGACCCUAGACAAGCCAAGGCCACUCUGAGCCCUAUCUAUCACAGGAAGGGUUAGACUGAGGUCCCUAACCCUGUGUGAGGGUAAAAAGCUGUGAGUCCCCUAGAGUGGGGUGGAAGGGGGCAGGACUUCAGGGACAGCAGGAAUUGGAGUCCCAGGGUUAAUUGUGACCCAUUGCAGGAAGGUGAAGCAGAUGCACCUUAACUUCAUGGAUGAAAAGGAUCGAAUCAUCACAGCUUUCUACAACGAAGCCCGGGCACGGGCCAGGGCCAACAGAGCCAGCCUUCAGCAGGAGCGACAACGGCUAGGGCAGCGGCAGCCGCCACCAUCCGAGCCAACCCAAGGCCCCGAGAUCGUUCCCCCGGGCGCCGGCCCCUGAGGGGCUCACCUGGAUGGGGCCUACAGUGCGUUCCCGCCUUGCUUCCUUCCCUGGACGGCCCGCUCCCCGAAACGCGCGCAAUAAAGUGAUUCGCAGAGCUCG